rnacentral:lncRNA from 1 species
AGCUGUUCUUCCCCUCUGCUGACUUUAUGUGGAGUAAAGGGCUACUCCAGCUGAGGAAAAAUGCCAAUAAAGGAGAUGAAAACAGCCAGAAAUUGUAUAUACUUAUCAUGUACAACAUGAUGCCCUGAAAUAUGUCUACACUACGGGAUGGCCAAAUUGAGGCAAUUAACAUAUGCAAGACCUCACAAACUUCAAAUUUUUUGUGGUGAGAACACUUAAAAUCCACAAAAAUUAGUAAUGUUCAGAAAUACGGAUUCAAGGAACCCAUGCAAGAGUUCAAGCUGAGAGAGAGGGAGAGAGAAGCUCCUACUUUAUGAAAUCCUGGCCCAGUCUCUACUUUCCAUAAGAAACUACAGCCUUGAAAACGAAGCUGCUUGCUCAAGGCCACAGACCUGAUUUGUGCAGGGGUGAGACUAAUAUCCGGCAUGGCUCCCAGUCCAACAGAUUACAGUGCAAAUUCUUCAAGACUAAAAAACAUAAGACUAUAUUUACAGGGAUUAUUUCUACAGUUCAUUACUAGAGAAGUUUCUCUCAGGAUGUAGAGCAGAAAAGAUAUAUUAAAAAUGACUGUGAAGGAAUAGUUGUCAAGAAAAAAUGAAAAGUAUUAAAAAGAUUAAAAACAAACAAAAAACUGAUUUAAAGAACUGUAAAUCCAUGCAUUAUGAAUUCACUCUUUCAUCCAUUUUAUUUCAGUUAUUGUAUUUUUCACUAAAAUUCCCACUUCUUUAUAUCUUCUGUUUUCUUGCCAAGACUUUCUAUAUUUCCAUCUGUUUCAAGAGUAGCUUUACUUCUUGGACUAUUUUAAUAAUAGGGGCUUUAUAAAGUUUUAUUUAUUUUUUAACUGUAGCCUUAACAAAUUUCCACAAACUUAGCAGCUUAAAAUAACAGCCUUUUAUUAUCUCACAGUGUCUACGGGUUAGAAGUUUGAGUGUAAUGUAACUCACCAGAAUUCUCUGCUUAGGGUCUCAAAAGGUCUAAGUCAAGGUGUCAGCUGACCUGGGGUCUUAUGUGGAUUUCCUUGGGGGAGAAUACACUUACAGGCUCAUUCAAGUCUGUGUGGGUAGAG